rnacentral:rRNA from 1 species
AAUGAGGAGGAAGACGCAGUGAACUGAAACAUCUAAGUAGCUGCAGGAAGAGAAAGCAAAAGCGAUUGCCUUAGUAGCGGCGAGCGAAGAGGCAGGAGGGCAAACCGAAGAGUUUACUCUUCGGGGUUGUAGGACUGCAAUGUGGACUCAGAAUUUAUAGAAGAAUGACUUGGGAAAGUCAGCCAAAGAGAGUAAGAGCCUCGUAUUUUAAAUAGAUUCUGUACCUAGCAGUAUCCUGAGUACGGCGGGACACGUGAAAUCCCGUCGGAAUCUGGGAGGACCAUCUCCCAACCCUAAAUACUCCCUAGUGACCGAUAGUGAACCAGUACCGUGAGGGAAAGGUGAAAAGCACCCCGGGAGGGGAGUGAAAUAGAACCUGAAACCGUGUGCCUACAACAAGUUCGAGCCCGUUCAUGGGUGAGAGCGUGCCUUUUGUAGAAUGAACCGGCGAGUUACGUUAUGAUGCGAGGUUAAGUUGAAGAGACGGAGCCGUAGGGAAACCGAGUCUGAAUAGGGCGCUUUAGUAUCAUGAUGUAGACCCGAAACCAUGUGACCUACCCAUGAGCAGGUUGAAGGUGCGGUAAAACGCACUGGAGGACCGAACCAGGGCACGUUGAAAAGUGCUUGGAUGACUUGUGGGUAGCGGAGAAAUUCCAAACGAACUUGGAGAUAGCUGGUUCUCUCCGAAAUAGCUUUAGGGCUAGCGUCGACAUGAAGAUUCUUGGAGGUAGAGCACUGUUUGGGUGAGGGGUCCAUCCCGGAUUACCAAUCUCAGAUAAACUCCGAAUGCCAAUGAAUUAUGGUCGGCAGUCAGACUGCGAGUGCUAAGAUCCGUAGUCGAAAGGGAAACAGCCCAGACCACCAGCUAAGGUCCCAAAAUAAU